UGUUGUUCAGAACAGCCUGAAGAUGAAACAGAAACGGGACUGCCAGGCAGGUGGGAGCUGAUCUGCGACUGCGCGUGGCCCCCAGGACAGGCGACCAGUGACCAGUGGCUUCUUACCUCCAAGUCUCCAGUCUUGGCAGCCUCCUGGCCGGACUCCGCCUCCUCCGCAGACACCUCUACCUCCUCCCAGGGCUCACGCACCCAGCCUGAGCUUGUCUGAGCAGGCUGUCCCAGGUGGCUUCUGAUUCCAACCCCCACCCCCAGUAUCCGCAGUACUGAGACCCGAGAUACCACUCCUUCCAAGAAGUCCUCCAGACAUGGAUUCAUUCAACAAAGUCUGUAUCCUGUGCCGCUGUGGGCCACCCUGUGCUCUGAGAACCUUCCCUCACCUCCCCUACCCCAUGUGUCACCCAGAGCCCCCCCUUGGACUCCCCCUUACUUGGGACCCAUUCCCCAGUGUCAGAAUUCUUCCUUUCUUAUCUGUGUUCCCUGCCCUGUCACCAAAUCCAAGCCUCAGCCCAGGGCCUGGUGCAGAGAAAUUCUGGGUGACUGAUGGGUGACAGGAAAUGUGGGAAGACAAAAACGGAUGAUGAGCUGAUGGGAAAACGUACAGGGGAAGGACUCAGCCAUGCUUUUAACAUGUGCUUACCGACGACCUGUGGCACACCAGGCACUGUUCUAGAUGCUAGGGAUACAGCAGAGAACAGAACGCAAAAAUCUCUGACCUCUUAGAGCUGGAGGGGGAGAUAGAUAAUUAAUAAGCCAAUACGUGUGAAAUAUACCCGGUAAGAGCUAUGGAGCAAAGUAAAGCAAGCAGAGGAAGGAGAAGAGGACUUGGUUUCAGUUCUCUGUGAGCAGACUGGAUGUGACAAGGGAGGCAAACUACACGUUUGCAGUGAGGGCAUGCCAGGUGGCUGGGACAGCACAUACAGAAGCCCGGUGGUAGGUGGGCACUUGGUGUGCCUGAGGAACAAGGAGGAGGUGGGCAGAGCUGAACAAAAGAGUCAAGGUAGACAUGAGAGAAGGGAGGCGCAGGAAGGAUGGAUGGACAGAUGGACAGCAAGGGAAGGGGGUGGAGAACUCCAAUCUCAAGGAUGGGCCCUAUCUAUUGGCCACAGCUGAGACCCACUGGGGUUGCUGGUCCUGAUCGCCUCCAACCGCUGCUCCCCUCCCCGCCCCCCCCCGAGGGGGGGGCAAAUUGCCAAGUGCAAGACCGCCCCUGCUCCGCCCACGGGCAUGCAUGCCUGCUCCGCUCAGCCGGAAGCCCUGGGCCCCCUCUGCCCCCAUGGGCUGAGCACAGGUGACCCCAGAGAGACAAGUAGGCCUGCAGGAAGACAGUCUGACUCUUAAAGCCCCAGGGUUUCCCCAGGCCUUGAGAGCUGCGCCUGCCUGCCCAUGACCAGAGAUGCUGUACACCCUGAUAAGAACACCAGGGGAGUCCCAGUUUGUGACUGCUGGGCUCCCCACGCCCAGGCUCCAUCCUCCUCACCCCACUCUGCCCUCAGGGGCCUUGACAGUGAAAGAAUCCGGGAGCUCUACCCAGACGUGGAGGGGAGGCCUUGGCUCCACCCUCAUUCCCCGGUGCUCUGGGCUUAAAUUCACUGUGCCUUAGGUCGGCUCUUAAAUGAGGACAUCUGCCUUUGCCCUGCUUGCCUUCUAGAGGGAAAGGAAUGGGGUCAGCAACUGGCCCUGCCAGAGAAGCUAACUGUGGAGCAUUUGCGGGGCUGGGGGCUUGGUGUCCAGGAGCCCCCCUCCCCCACCAUCCAGGACUCCUCGCUUUACCCUAUGAGAAGGAGACCCUUAUUAAUGCAGGUUUUACAGGCAAAGGUGGGAGAUGGGGGAUUAGGAGUGUUACGUAACACAUCUGAGUCAUACCCAGGAGGUCUGAUCCAGGACUGGGACCUUUUCUCUGUCCUGGCCUCAGCCCAGCCUCCCUUUGCUCUCCCCGAGGCCCGCUCAGUGGGAAUUCUCAGGAAAUGCAGACUCCUUUAUCUGGACAGGAGGUAAGUGUGGGGGGGUGGGCACAAAAGGCUCCCAGCUCUGACCUCUGACACUCUUGUGGGACCAUAGGCUCAGGCUCCACACUCCCUUUCAGAACGAAUGCCGCCCACAAACGCAAGAAGUGAGCUCCCCAUCUCUGGGGGGAACUAAGGAGAAGCUCAGCAGGGGUGUCAUAGAGAAAAUACCUGCCACAUCUAUGGGGAAGACUAAUUGGUCUUUUUUUUUUUAAGAUUUUAUUUAUUUAUUUGACAGACAGAGAUCACAAGUAGGCAGAGAGGCAGGCAGAGAGCGAGGAGGAAGCAGGCUCCCCGCCGAGCAGAGAGCCCAAUGGGGGACUUGAUCCCAAGACCCUGAGAUCAUGACCUGAGCCGAAGGCAGAGGCUUAAUCCUCUGAGCCACCCAGGCGCCCCUUAAUUGGUCUUUAAAAUCAUUUUCCACUCACAGGUUAAUUCACAAGAGCCAUUUUGUACUACUUCGUGUUUUUGUUCAUUAACCUGAUAUUUACAGAGUAACUACCAGGGGCCAGGGUCUUAUGUUUAGAAAACACUCCUCACCGUGCUAGGAUGGGCUCCCCCUCUUCAGAAAAGAAGUGGAAAGACAGCCAACGGUGUUCCCGUUUCCCGUGAUGAGUUCAUCCUCUCUUGGCUACAUCUGGUGGUUGCUCUCCCUGCUUCAGCCUGUAUUAUCUGUUCACUUGCACCCUAUCUGGAGGUCAGUCUUGGGUCGCUCCCUGGCUGCAUGGUGCAGAGCAGACCAGAGCCCUUCUCUGAACCUCGACAUUCCCCGUCUGUGAAAUGGGGAUAAUAAAAGGACUCUUCCUACAGUGUUUUCAAAUGAAUGACAUGAGGAACCAGGGCAGAAACCACUCUGACAUGCUCUCUGCCCACCAAGACUCAUUUCACCAUCCCAGCAACUCUGAGGAGUGUGUCUGCCCCCAUUUGACAGGUGAGGAGACCGAGGGCAACCCAGAGAGUCAGAGCAAUUCAUGCAAGCCCUUGGGAAUCGAUGGCAUCAGGCUACAUCCUGAGCUUCUGGGACAUGUAGGACCCGUCCUGGCGCAGCCCUGUGGGGGCUUCUCCGGAUCUGCCCCAUGUCAAAUCGACUCGGGUCUACUUGGGGUUGGUAUUGGGGCAACUGAGUCAUCUCCUCCUGGGGCAUUUUCCGCCAGGCCUCCGCAUGUCUCCUCAGAGUCAGCACUCACAGUAUACAAACCAAACACAGGAAAUGGGUAUAAAUGAAAUGUCAAGGCCAUGUGAGCAGGGAGGUUGCGGGCUGAGAAAAGCACAGCUCAUGCUGGGCCUGACUCUGUGAGAAGCUUCAGGAGCAUCUAACCCCAGGGCAGAGCUGGCUUGCCCAUGGGUCUCUUCCCGGUACCAGGGGUCCUUCAUCUCUCCUGACCUCUCCACCCCCAUCUCCGCCUAGAGAAAUUUCACCCCCCAACCCCGCCAUGGUCCAUUUCAAAUGUCUUCUCCUCCAGGAAGCCCUCUUGGAGUUAUCCCAUUCUUACCUAUAGGAAGUCAGCCUCUGAACCUCUGAACCUUAAAAGCCCUGCAUUUUACCUACAAGAACACUAACAUCCAACUUUCUUGGUGUGUGUGCCAGGCCCUUUCCUAAAAACUGAAUGGGUUGACUUAUUUAAUCCCUGUAACAAUCCUAUUUAUUACAGAAGAGAGACUGAGGCCCAAUGAGAUUUAGUGACGCAUCCUAGAGCACAUUGCCAAUUAGUGUCAGAGUCAGGAUUUGUACCCACACUUCUGCUGGACUGUGAUCUAGCCCUGUGUUGUGCAGCUCCUCAAUACAUGUAUUGGAUCCAUUCAUUCAACAGACAUUUUCUAAGGGCUCACUAAGUGUCAGGUCUCACACUGGUUUUUGUGAACAGAAGAUAGACACCACCCCUGCCUUCAUGGAGCUUAUAGUUUGAUGGAAUAAGGGGUAAAAAAAAAAAAAAAAAAAAAAAAUCAAUGAAGUAAUUAAGUAAUUCAGUAGGUAUGAAGACAAAUAAUGACAUAUAAUGUAAGGACAAUGAAGAAAGCAAACCAAAAAAAAAAAAACAAAAAAAACAAAAACAAAAAACAAAAAAAACAAAGGGAAAAGAUGGUAUGCAACAGGGAAUCUGCUUUAGCCAGGUAAUCCAAGAAGGCUUCCUAGAGGGGGUGACAUUCGUAACAGGGUCCUGACAGAUAAAGAGGAGCCAGCCUUGGAAAGAGUGGGCCUGGGACACAAGGAACAGCAUAGGCAAAAGUAUGGAGAGGGCAAUGAGCUCAGAGUGCUGGGGAGACAGGCAGCCAGUGAGUGUGGCUGAAGCAGGGAGACAAGGGAGAUGAGGACAUAGACCAGUGCAGGGAUGGUGGUCUAAUCCCCAGCCCCGGGCAGUGGGAUGCCAUGUGUGGAUUUAAACAGGGGGAUGAGGGGCGCCUAGGUGGCUCAGUCAUUGAGCAUCUGCCUUCAGCUCAGGUCAUGAUCCCAGGAUCCUGGGAUCAAGCCCGGCAUCGGGCUCCCUGCUCAGUGGGAGGCCUCCUUCUCCCUCUCCCACUCCCCCUGCUUGUGUUCCUCUCUCACUGUGUCUAUCUCUCUCAGUCAAAUAAAUAAAUAUUUACAAAAAUAAAAUGAAAAUCAACACGGGGAUGAAGGGAUCAAUAUACAUUUCGAGGAGAACAGCUGAAGGACUAGACUCUGCCCUGAUUAGGUCAAGGCUAUCGGUCAAGGCUGGGUCAAGCUCCCUCUCCUGCACCCCAGGCCAGGCCUGGUCAGGAAUUCUGCUGCUAACACAGAGAGAAAGGUACAGGCACCAACCCUGCAGAUGUACCCUGGGGCAGAGCGUAGGGAGGCCCCCAUCCCAUUCAGGACUCUGGUCCACCCACAGAGCUGGAAGGCAAGCAACCGUCCGUCCGCCAGGCAGUCUGUCUGUCCAUCUACCCAUCAGCCCUUGGCAGCCUUGGAUCCAGAGCAGGUCUUCCACCAUCCUGGUGUCAAGCUGCUCACGCAGUGACUGUUGGCUCUCUUGAGUAUUGUUCAGGCACGAACGCCAAUCUUUCCCUUGACGCUACCGAGUCCGACAAAAGUGAAAUGACAAAGACAUGUGAGAACCUCCCUUACUCAUCAAGGACAUGAGUGAUUUUCUACAGAACUGGACAAUAGCCUUCAAGCCCUGGAAUCCUGGAUGACUCAAAUCCCGACUUUUGAUUGCACUGCUGGAGGGGACAACCACGUUUGGUCUUUGGUGCUAUUCACAAUACAGUGACCACAGGCACGACAUGCUGCCACGAGGGUACCUCGUGACCCUUCUCUCCGCCCCUGCCUGACAUCUCUCUGGACAACCAACAAAACAGUAGCUCUAGGCCUAAUGGGAAGCAUCUGCCAGUCUCCAUGGUGUAACACACUACGUGGUCAGCUUCGGGACGCAAGCAUCGACCACAGACUUGGGGCAGGUAGUGCGAUGGCUCACCGUGCUGCGGUGUUUCUGCCAUGUGAAUGCCAGAGGCAUUGGUAACUGUGGGAGCACAGAUGGUCCGUGCACCGGGGCCAUCAGAACACGGGACUACAGACCGGGUGGCGUCAACAACGGAACUGUAUUGUCCCAGGAUUCUGGAGGGUGGAAAUCCAAGAGUGAGGUCUCUGUAGGAUUGCUUCCCUCUGGGGGCCGUGAGGGGAAAUCUGUUGCACGCUCUCCCCUCGUUCUAGUGUUGGCAGUCUGGCAUUUUUUUGGCUUCUAGAAGCAUCUCCUUGAUUUCCAAAGUCUUCAUCUUCAGGUGGCAUUCGCCCUGUGUGUCAAUAACAUACGAUGUUACAUGGGUUUCAGGGAUACAACAUGUUGAUUCAACAGA